rnacentral:rRNA from 1 species
AGUGAACGCUGGCGGUAGGCCUAACACAUGCAAGUCGAACGGCAGCACAGGAGAGCUUGCUCUCUGGGUGGCGAGUGGCGGACGGGUGAGGAAUACAUCGGAAUCUACUCUGUCGUGGGGGAUAACGUAGGGAAACCUACGCUAAUACCGCAUACGACCUACGGGUGAAAGGAGGGGACCUUCGGGCCUGGCGCGAUUGAAUGAGCCGAGGUCGGAUUAGCUAGUUGGCGGGGUAAAGGCCCACCAAGGCGACGACCCGUAGCUGGUCUGAGAGGAUGAUCAGCCACACUGGAACUGAGACACGGUCCAGACUCCUACGGGAGGCAGCAGUGGGGAAUAUUGGACAAUGGGCGCAAGCCUGAUCCAGCCAUACCGCGUGGGUGAAGAAGGCCUUCGGGUUGUAAAGCCCUUUUGUUGGGAAAGAAAUCCAGCUGGCUAAUACCCGGUUGGGAUGACGGUACCCAAAGAAUAAGCACCGGCUAACUUCGUGCCAGCAGCCGCCGUAA